rnacentral:lncRNA from 1 species
GAUCCAAUUGGAGAGAUGAGGCAUUACCAUCGAAAUUGAUUGAUUGUUAAUGUUGAACUCUGACUGAUAUUAUAGUAAUAAAGGUCUUUUUCUGAUUUUUUUUAGGGAUCAAGGUAUAUUAGGUUGAUGAAACACGAUCUGACCAUCAUAGUCUAAACCUGAUAUUAUUUAUCUUGAGAAGUUGAACUAUUAUUAGAGCGAGUGACGAGUGAGAUGUUAGCAGGAGCUGAAAUUAUGAAGGCACUAUUGGAUUCAAAGCAACAACUUUAUUUCCUUAUGAGCAUUACUUCAAAAUACUAUCCCAUGGUUGCAUCAUAAAACAAAAUAUUCUCAAUAGUAUCUAGAGUCACUCAAAUUGGAUAAAGUGAGGUAAUAUAACACCAAGAAGUUCGGAAAAAUUACGAAGAUUUAUUAUGUAUAAUCUUAAUAAAAACUCUAUACGAAUUAUUAUGUAUAAUCUUAAUGGAAAUUGUAUACAUUUGGCAUUUUGUUCAUGGUAUUUUACAUAUUUCUCCCUCUAGACGUUUUAGAUUGGAGGCAUUAUUGGGUAGAUAAUUAAAUAUAUUGAAGGAUUUGCAUCUUAUCCAUUUUUGUUGAUGCUUAAUCACUUUUUUGUUCUAUUAUAUGGAAAUAAGCACCUACACUACAUGCUCCCUCCGUGGACAUAUGUUUGUCUUAAAUUCGCAGUAAUAGGAUAUGUCACAUCCGGUACUGAUUUGUUUUAUAUUGGACAGAGGAGUACUACACACCCAUAAGUUGCACCAUUAAUACACGCUUAAUUAGUUA